rnacentral:rRNA from 1 species
AGUGAACGCUGGCGGCGUGCUUAACACAUGCAAGUCGAACGAGAACGGAAUAUAGCUUGCUAUAUUUGUCAGCUAAGUGGCGCACGGGUGAGUAAUGUAUAGAUAACCUGCCCUUAAGAAAGGAAUAACAGUUGGAACCGACUGCUAAUGCCCUAUAUGCCUUUAAUACAUAAGUAUGCAAGGGAAACGCUUUAGUGCUUAAGGAUGGGUCUGUAUGGUAUCAGCUUGUUGGUUAGGUACUGGCUCACCAAGGCUACGACGCCUAACUGGUUUGAGAGGAUGAUCAGUCACACUGGAACUGAGACACAGUCCAGACUCCUACCGGAGGCAGCAGUGGGGAAUAUUGCACAAUGGACGGAAGUCUGAUGCAGCAACGCCGCGUGGAGGAUGACACAUUUCGGUGCGUAAACUCCUUUUAUAUAGGAAGAUAAUGACGGUACUAUAUGAAUAAGCACCGGCUAACUCCGUGCCAGCCGCCGCGGUAA